CACACCCAGCUUCUUCUUGACGCACCCUGAGCUGCUGGAGGGCCUCGUGGAGGAGGAGCGGGAGGCCUUGGCGGCGCAGGGUCCGCUGCCCUCGCCACCCUCACAGCCCCAGCCGGCCUCAGCUUCAUAGGCCGCUGACAGCUAGUGAAGAACCCCAUCCGAUCUGCUCCGGACAGACCUGCCGAUGACGCUGGCGGAUCCGCGGGAGCAAGCUGCUGAACUCUCAGCUGGCAUUGAUGGCGUCAAGCGUGCCCGAGUCCAGAUGUGCUUCGCUUCACUCUGGCUCAGCGCCUCGUUGGAUGUUUUCCGCGUCGCCCCGUCAGUGCCUGGUUCAGAUGUUAGAGCUUAUCGCAGGCCACGGCCCAGGUCCACUGCCCAGGCUCACGUCUUUUGCUGUAUUGUUAACAGUCAUUUUUCGCCGAUCGGAAUUACCAUUUCCAAAGUUGACAUAGUACAUUUCUUUUGUGUUUGGUUUGUGAUAGCAUUUUGAGGCAGGAAACAAAGCUUUUAGCAACAGCCUUUUUAUGUUACGAUCAUCCGUGACCAUCACACAUGUUCCAGUGUCCAGAGCGGGCGAUUUUGGAACCGAGCGUCAUUGGUGUCGGUGCCUUAAAGUCUCAUAAAACGAAUUCAUUAAAACACCAUACGUCUGAUUUUGCACUUUACGGUUCUGUGAAAAACAACCGUAUGUUUGCCCUGCAAGCUUGUCGACCACAUGACCUGCUGAACUUUGUUUGAGUUGAUUACUUCAGGUUCCAGUAUUGCGGUGCUGCAUAGGGACAACAAUGGCCUAAGUAGGGUGUCUGCGUGCUGUACAGUUAACAAUAAGAAUUUAGCAAAUGAUGUUAUUUGAGACGUUGUUAUGGGUGUUCAUGAGACGUCGGAUCAUGAAAUGUUUAGCGCACGACUAUUCAGCCAGUCAUGCUUUAUGAAACGAAGCACUCAGUAAGAAAUGAAUCCUUUGCUUGACCAGAAUGUUCGAUUUACAUGUUUGUGUUUCCAAUAACUGCGUAAAGCGGGAACGAACCGUUCGCGCUCAAGUCAAUACUUUUUAUGGAACUGAAGAAAUACGCAAUAAAUGGCGAACAGACGAA